rnacentral:rRNA from 1 species
CCUACGGGAGGCAGCAGUGAGGAAUAUUGGACAAUGGGCGCAAGCCUGAUCCAGCCAUGCCGCGUGCAGGAUGACGGUCCUAUGGAUUGUAAACUGCUUUUGCACAGGAAGAAACAACAUUACGUGUAAUGUCUUGACGGUACUGUGAGAAUAAGGAUCGGCUAACUCCGUGCCAGCAGCCGCGGUAAUACGGAGGAUCCAAGCGUUAUCCGGAAUCAUUGGGUUUAAAGGGUCCGUAGGCGGUCUUAUAAGUCAGUGGUGAAAUCUCCCCGCUCAACGGGGAAACGGCCAUUGAUACUGUAGGACUUGAAUUAUUAGGAAGUAACUAGAAUAUGUAGUGUAGCGGUGAAAUGCUUAGAGAUUACAUGGAAUACCAAUUGCGAAGGCAGGUUACUACUAAUGUAUUGACGCUGAUGGACGAAAGCGUGGGUAGCGAACAGGAUUAGAUACCCUGGUAGUCCACGCCGUAAACGAUGGAUACUAGNUGUUGGUCGGCGAGUACGUAGUGGUCGUAAGACGAAAGUAGAAGUAAAGUAAGUACCGACCGUACGGGUAAGGUACGGUUACGUUACGAAGUAAAGUUAAGAAACGUAACGAAAGGAAAGUUAGUACGGACGUUGAGGACGAGCCGACGGACGACGACGAGGGAGGAGG